rnacentral:lncRNA from 10 species
AGUCUAACUUGCCACUCUGUGAACUUCACUACUGGAAAGCAACAAAGAGACGGGGUUUUCGCCACGUUGCCCAGGCUGGCUUCAAACUCCUGGGCUCAAGGGAUCCACCUGCCUCCGCCUCCCAAAGCUGAUGUUAAGUAUUAUCUAACAUAACUUCAUUUAUGAAAAUUUAAAAAUGCGUAAGAUAAAGAAAUCAAUGUUUUACAGGAGCACAUAUACAUAAAAGAAUAUGCUUUAAACAAAUUAUAAGUGGUGUCUAUGGUGGUGGAGAAGAAAGGAAAUGAACUGGGUCAAAGGCCAUAAGUAAAGAAGAGAAUGGCCUUCUAAUCCAGUCAUGGCUUAUGCCAAGAACCAGAGCAUGUGAUGACCUCAACCUUGUGUACUUGUGGUUAUAAAAGAAGAAACAAUCAAAUAAACAGACUAAUAAAAGUGUCUGGCACACAAUAAGUGGCCUAUCAGUGUAUUCCAAACUCUUUUCUUAGGUGCUCUAGUAACUGCAGGGCUACAAUAGUUAUGAUAUGUGAAUAGGCGAUUUUAUAACAACAACAGGACAUAAAUUUAAGAUAAAUAAAUUCACGUUACUUU